AACCAAAAUAAUAAUAAGGGACCUAUUCAGGGUCGGUAGGAUAAUGGUGAUAGGUUCCUGCUAUCUCUCUCUUCGCCGUCCUUCCUUCUUUCAACAACACUUUCCCGAGCUGUGGUAAUAAGCUUACUAGAUGCUCUCAUUCUUCAUCUAUCUUUUUCGUCGAUUAGCGACCCGAACACGUAGUAGAUCAUCGGAAAUUUUUGUUUCUUUUGGUUCGCAACCUUCGCCAUGAUUGCAGUGAAUAUAGAGAAUUGAAGGGACCUAUGAAGUAAUUAGAGUUGUUUGGAAGAUGUUCUAUAUGGUAGUGAAUGUUGGAAGGAAGUUGAGUUUUGAAUUCAAGUUUUGAAGAUGUAUCAAGUCUUGGAGAAGUCAUCUUCAUUCAGUAUGUGGAUCCUGCUGAUGCUGCAGAGGCAAAACAUCACAUGGAAGGCUAUCUUCUUCUUGGUCGUGAUCUCAACUUGUAUAAUUUAAAUAUAUGCAGAAGCGACAGGUUCCAUGACAGAGAAGACGUUCACCUCCCCCUCGUCGUGGUGGUAGGACUCGAUCACGUAGCCGUGACUAUAAUUCUCCUCCCCCUUUAAAGACAUCAAUCUAGGUCUGUCUCGCUCACCAACGAAAAAUUGCUCAAGUGGAAGUCAUGGGAGGGUGACGAGCCGUAGCCCAAGAAGUGUAAGCGUGAGCCCAGGAAGAAACAGGAGCUACACGCCUGAACAAGCCAGGAGCCCGGUUGGCGGUUGCUAGGCAGAGCAGGAGAUUAAGCCUCGUGGAGAUCUUUAUCUGUGUUUAUGUUUUACGUUUUGAUUAAUGAAUGAACUUAAAAGACAUGACAAUGAGGUUGCAUGUGCCUUUUUGUCAUCUUAUCUCUUUAGAGAUCUCAUCUAGCCUUGUUGUUGUUAUGGUGAAAGAAAAUGGUCCUACUAGGAAAUGUGGGAUCUUUUUGACGUAUUGCAUCCAUUGGUAUUGAAUAGGCCUUUUUGCACUUUA